UAUGUUAUAGUUUAUGAAGAACAUUAAUUUUUGAUAUUAAUAGACAGUUUGAUUCUGUUAACAUAA
rnacentral:tRNA from 1 species